rnacentral:rRNA from 1 species
GUGGGGAAUUUUGGACAAUGGGCGCAAGCCUGAUCCAGCAAUGCCGCGUGCAGGAAGAAGGCCUUCGGGUUGUAAACUGCUUUUGUACGGAACGAAACGGUCCGGGUUAAUACCCUGGGCUAAUGACGGUACCGUAAGAAUAAGCACCGGCUAACUACGUGCCAGCAGCCGCGGUAAUACGUAGGGUGCAAGCGUUAAUCGGAAUUACUGGGCGUAAAGCGUGCGCAGGCGGUUUUGUAAGACAGGCGUGAAAUCCCCGGGCUCAACCUGGGAAUUGCGCUUGUGACUGCAAGGCUGGAGUGCGGCAGAGGGGGAUGGAAUUCCGCGUGUAGCAGUGAAAUGCGUAGAUAUGCGGAGGAACACCGAUGGCGAAGGCAAUCCCCUGGGCCUGCACUGACGCUCAUGCACGAAAGCGUGGGCAGCAAACAGGAUUAGAAACCCGGGUAGUCC